UACAACCCUGGAAAACGUGAACCAAAAUAGUGUGGUGUACGUUGAUAUUCGUUAUCAAAAAAUCCAAUGAUUGGAUAAGUUAUGAACGAUAAAUCGCCGCUCAUCCCGGGGUUUGUGCGAGCUCCACAAAAGGCGACAAUAAAUACGCAGUUUUCCAUCGCAACCGUGAAAAACGGCGGGAUUCCCGGUGUCGUGCGAACCGCCUCAAACAUCCAAGGGAAACAGAAGACCAAAUCCAGGGAGAAACGCGCAAAUGGAACAGUUCAGAUCCCACAGAACGAUGAGUUGACGAAACAAGCGGUGGACGAGAUUCUGCGAGAAACAAGAACGAGUAAAACACAGACCGAACAGAAUGGCCCGACCGCACGGAAGAGAUGUCCGAUACAGAAGACUAACAAACGGUUUCUCAAUCGAACGAUAAUAUCUGCCGUGAACCACAAUAAUCGGGAAGGAAGGAAAGUGAAGCAACGAUCGAAGGAGAAACUCACAGAACACGUACGGAAAAGGAAUGUUCAGGAACCAUGUCGAAAAGACCAAAACCCACCCAUUAUCGUGAUAGAUUGAUGAAGCGCAAAGCAUGUAUUUUAUUAGAUAAGGACGCUGAUUUCAGAAGGAGUGGUAGCACAAUCAACUGCAUUCAACUGAUGAGACUGUAAUAUGCUAAAAACUAUUUAAUAGUGAAUGCCUCGGUUCGGGUUGUGCCGGCACGAGGAUUGGUGAAAUUGCUGUAUUUGGUGAUUCGGCGCAGAAAGUUUAAACGAUGAGGGGUCUGAUACGAAACGGGCUGACCAAAA